rnacentral:rRNA from 1 species
GACGAACGCUGGCGGCGUGCUUAACACAUGCAAGUCGAACGGAAAGGCCCUGCUUUUGUGGGGUGCUCGAGUGGCGAACGGGUGAGUAACACGUGAGUAACCUGCCCUUGACUUUGGGAUAACUUCAGGUAACUGGGGCUAAUACCGGAUAGGAGCUCCUGCUGCGUGGUGGGGGUUGGAAAGUUUCGGCGGUUGGGGAUGGACUCGCGGCUUAUCAGCUUGUUGGUGGGGUAGUGGCUUACCAAGGCUUUGACGGGUAGCCGGCCUGAGAGGGUGACCGGCCACAUUGGGACUGAGAUACGGCCCAGACUCCUACGGGAGGCAGCAGUGGGGAAUAUUGCACAAUGGGCGGAAGCCUGAUGCAGCAACGCCGCGUGCGGGAUGACGGCCUUCGGGUUGUAAACCGCUUUCGCCUGUGACGAAGCGUGAGUGACGGUAAUGGGUAAAGAAGCACCGGCUAACUACGUG